UUUCCGUAGGUGAACCUGCGGAAGGAUCAUUAACGAGUUAGAGUCUUUUAGGCCCGACCUCCCAACCCUAUGUUUAUUGAACCUCUGUUGCUUCGGCGGACCCGUCUCACGCCCGCCGGAGGACCGCUACAAGGCGUCCUCUGGCCAGCGUCCGCCGAUGGCCAACCCACUAAACUCUGAAUGAUUCGUGUCAUAUGUCUAAGUCUAUGAUUAAAUUAAAGCAAAACUUUCAACAACGGAUCUCUUGGUUCUG
rnacentral:misc_RNA from 1 species